GUUUAAGUAGUUUAAAAUAAAAAUUUCGAUUUGUGGUGUCGAAGAUGUAUGUUAAUACCUUUAACC
rnacentral:tRNA from 1 species